rnacentral:ncRNA from 12 species
UGGUUUAGAAGUAGAGAAUGUGCUGCUACGCACCCUUUGGGUCAAAAGAAAUGUGGAAUUGACACACCACCGUAACCA